rnacentral:rRNA from 1 species
GAGGGGCAGCGGGGGAGUGGCAACACUUCCGCCGGCGACCGGCGCACGGGUGAGUAACACGUAUGAAACCUGCCCGCAGCAGGGGGAUAAGCGGAAGAAAUUCCGUCUAAUACCGCGUAACAACCGACGGGGGCAUCCCUGUUGGUUCAAAGGAGCGAUCCGGCUGCGGAUGGUCAUGCGGCGCAUUAGCUAGUUGGCGGGGCAACGGCCCACCAAGGCGACGAUGCGUAGGGGUUCUGAGAGGAAGGUCCCCCACACUGGUACUGAGACACGGACCAGACUCCUACGGGAGGCAGCAGUGAGGAAUAUUGGUCAAUGGCCGAGAGGCUGAACCAGCCAAGUCGCGUGAGGGAUGACGGCCCUACGGGUUGUAAACCUCUUUUGCCGGGGAGCAAAGAGCGGGACGCGUCCCGCCUCGAGAGUACCCGGAGAAAAAGCAUCGGCUAACUCCGUGCCAGCAGCCGCGGUAAUACGGAGGAUGCGAGCGUUAUCCGGAUUUAUUGGGUUUAAAGGGUGCGCAGGCGGAAGCGCAAGUCAGCGGUAAAAUUGAGAGGCUCAACCUCUUCCCGCCGUUGAAACUGCGUUUCUUGAGUGGGCGAGAAGUACGCGGAAUGCGUGGUGUAGCGGUGAAAUGCAUAGAUAUCACGCAGAACUCCGAUUGCGAAGGCAGCGUACCGGCGCCCAACUGACGCUCAUGCACGAAAGCGUGGGUAUCGAACAGGAUUAGAUACCCUGGUAGUCCACGCAGUAAACGAUGAAUACUCGCUGUCCGGGGAGAUUGGUCUCUGGGCGGCCAAGCGAAAGCGUUAAGUAUUCCACCUGGGGAGUACGCCGGCAACGGUGAAACUCAAAGGAAUUGACGGGGGCCCGCACAAGCGGUGGAGCAUGUGGUUUAAUUCGAAGCAACGCGAAGAACCUUACCAGGUCUUGACAUCCAGUGCAAACCUAAGAGAUUAGGUGUUCCCUUCGGGGACGCUGAGACAGGUGGUGCAUGGCUGUCGUCAGCUCGUGUCGUGAGAUGUUGGGUUAAGUCCCGCAACGAGCGCAACCCUUGUCAUUAGUUGCCAUCAUUAAGUUGGGCACUCUAAUGAGACUGCCGGUGACAAACCGGAGGAAGGUGGGGAUGACGUCAAGUCAUCAUGCCCCUUAUGACCUGGGCUACACACGUGCUACAAUGGACGGUACAACGAGAAGCGAACCUGCGAAGGCAAGCGGAUCUCUUAAAGCUGUUCUCAGUUCGGACUGUAGGCUGCAACUCGCCUACACGAAGCUGGAAUCGCUAGUAAUCG